UACAGAGGUGGCAAGCGUUGUUCGGAAUUACUGGGCGUAAAGGGCGCGUAGGCGGUUUGUUAAGUUGGAUGUGAAAACUGUGGGCUUAACCCAUAGCCUGCAUCCAAAACUAGCAGGCUAGAGUUCUGGAGGGGAUAGCGGAAUUCCUGGUGUAGCGGUGAAAUGCGUAGAUAUCAGGAGGAACACCGGUGGCGAAGGCGGCUAUCUGGACAGAGUCUGACGCUGAGGCGCGAAAGCUAGGGGAGCAAACAGG
rnacentral:rRNA from 1 species